ensembl:snRNA U6 U6 spliceosomal RNA
GUGCUCGCUCCAGCAGCAUGUAUACUAAAAUUGGGACGAUACAGAGAAGAUCAGCAUGGCCCUUGUGCAAAGAUGACCCGCAAAUUCAUGAAGCAUUCUAUAGCUUU